rnacentral:lncRNA from 1 species
CUCACUCUCUCUUUGCCUGCUGCCAUCCAUGUUAAGAUAUGACUUGCUCCUCGUCUUCCGCCAUUAUUGUGAGGCCUCCCCAGCCAUGUGAAACUGAGGAAGAGGCAGAGCAAGACGGCUCAAUAGAAGCCUCCACUAAUUGUCCUCCCCACUGGAACACCAAAUUGAACAACUAUCCACACAAAGAAGCACCUUCGUAAGAACCAAAAAUCAGACAGUAUUUCUGGACCUGCCCUGGGCCAGAGGGGAGCCCGCUUCCCUGAAGGAACAGACUCAGAACUGCCAACAUCACCAAAAGCUGACAGAAGAACCCUUGGGCCUUGAGUGAACAUCGAUGGUGCCAGACAGAAAGUCAUCUCUCUGCUCAACUGAGACAAAUGCAGAUUCAUUGAGCCAGACUAAGGCAUAAGUGACUAUUCCUCUAUGUUCCCCAACAUGUAAAUUGUGGAUUCAGUGAAAGGCUGAUUGAAGAGUCAGAAGAAUGUAACUUUUUGUCUCUUAUCUACCUGGAACCACACCUUAUCUACCUGGAACUGUCCCCUCCCCGCCCCCCCAAUCCCGCCCUGUUUUGAGUUGUCCUGCCUUUCUGGACCAAAUCAAUGCACAUCUUACACAUAUUGAUUGAUGUCUCAUAUCUCCCUAAAAUGUGUAAAAGUGAGCUGUACCCUGACCACCUUGAGCACAUGUUGCCAGGACACAGCCUCCUGAGGGUACAUCUUUAACCUUGGCAAAAUAAACUUUCUAAAUUGAUUAAGGCCUGUCUCAGACACUUUGAGUUGACAAUACACAAAAACUAAAAAGGAAGAAAUUAAAAGAUACC